AUUGAACGCUGGCGGCAGGCCUAACACAUGCAAGUCGAACGAGUGGCGGACGGGUGAGUAAUGUCUGGGACACUGCCCGAUGGAGGGGGAUAACUACUGGAAACGGUAGCUAAUACCGCAUACCAUCGGAUGUGCCAAGAUGGGAUUAGCUAGGAGGGGGAGUAACGGCUCACCUAGGCUACGAUCCCUAGCUGGUCUGAGAGGAUGACAAGCCACACUGGAACUGAGACACGGUCCAGACGCCUACGGGAGGCAGCAGUGGGGAAUAUUGCACAAUGGGCGCAAGCCUGAUGCAGCCAUGCCGCGUGUAUGAAGAAGGCCUUCGGGUUGUAAAGUACUUUCAGCGAGGAGGCGUUACUCGCAGAAGAAGUACCGGCUAACUCCGUGCCAGCAGCCGCGGUAAUUC
rnacentral:rRNA from 1 species